rnacentral:rRNA from 1 species
GACGAACGCUGGCGGCGUGCUUAACACAUGCCAGUCGAACGGUGAAGGGACCGGUUUUUGCUGGUUCAGGAUGAGUGGCGAACGGGUGAGUAACACGUGAGUAACCCGCCCCCUUCUUCUGGAUAACCGCAUGAAAGUGUGGCUAAUACGGGAUAUUCUGCGCCUGCUGCAUGGGGGGAGUGGGAAAGCUAUUGUUUCGGUGGGGGAUGGGCUCGCGGCCUAUCAGCUUGUUGGUGGGGUGAUGGCCUACCCAGGCGGUGACGGGUAGCCGGCCUGAGAGGGUGGACGGUCACAGUGGGGCUGGGACGCGGCCCAGACUCCGAGAGGAGGCAGCAGUGGGGAAUAUUGGACAAUGGGGGCAAGCCUGAUGCAGCGGCGCAGCGUGAGGGAUGGAGGCCUUCGGGUUGUAAACCUCUUUCGCGAGUGAAGCAUGCCUGUCGCUGUUGUGGGUGGGUUGACGGUAGCUGGAUAAGAAGCGCCGGCUAACUACGUG